rnacentral:rRNA from 1 species
GACAGAGGAUGCAAGCGUUAUCCGGAAUGAUUGGGCGUAAAGCGUCUGUAGGUGGCUUUUUAAGUCCGCCGUCAAAUCCCAGGGCUCAACCCUGGACAGGCGGUGGAAACUACCAAGCUGGAGUACGGUAGGGGCAGAGGGAAUUUCCGGUGGAGCGGUGAAAUGCGUAGAGAUCGGGAGGAACACCAGUGGCGAAGGCGGCCUUCUGGACCAAUACUGACGCUCAUGCACGAAAGCGUGGGGAGCAAACAGG